UACGUAGGGUGCAAGCGUUAAUCGGAAUUACUGGGCGUAAAGCGUGCGCAGGCGGUUUUGUAAGUCUGACGUGAAAUCCCCGGGCUCAACCUGGGAAUUGCGUUGGAGACUGCAAGGCUGGAGUCUGGCAGAGGGGGGUAGAAUUCCACGUGUGGCAGUGGAAUGCGUAGAGAUGUGGAGGAACACCGAUGGCGAAGGCAGCCCCCUGGGUCAAGACUGACGCUCAUGCACGAAAGCGUGGGGAGCAAACAGG
rnacentral:rRNA from 1 species